rnacentral:rRNA from 1 species
UACGUAGGGGGCAAGCGUUGUCCGGAAUCAUUGGGCGUAAAGCGCGUGUAGGCGGCCUUGUAAGUCCGUUCUGAAAGCCCGGGGCUCAACCCCGGGAGGCGGAUGGAUACUGCAAGGCUCGAGUACGGAAGAGGCGGGUGGAAUUCCCGGUGUAGCGGUGAAAUGCGCAGAUAUCGGGAGGAACACCAAUGGCGAAGGCAGCUCGCUGGGACGUUACUGACGCUGAGACGCGAAAGCGUGGGGAGCAAACAGG